CUGCAGCCCGAGUGGUGAUCGAUUUUAUUGAGCCUAAAGCGUCCGUAGCCGGUCUAGUAAACUUUUGGGUAAAUUGGGCAGCUUAACUGUCCAAAUUCCGAGGGGACUGCUAGUCUUGGGACCGGGAGAGGUCAGAGGUACUCAAGGGGUAGGGGCUAAAUCCUGUAAUCCUUUGGGGACCACCAGUGGCGAAGGCGUCUGACUAGAACGGAUCCGACGGUAAGGGACGAAACCCUGGGGCGCGAACCGGAUUAGAUACCCGAGUAGUCC
rnacentral:rRNA from 1 species